rnacentral:rRNA from 1 species
AGUGAACGCUGGCGGUAGGCCUAACACAUGCAAGUCGAACGGCAGCACAGUAAGAGCUUGCUCUUACGGGUGGCGAGUGGCGGACGGGUGAGGAAUACAUCGGAAUCUACUUUUUCGUGGGGGAUAACGUAGGGAAACUUACGCUAAUACCGCAUACGACCUACGGGUGAAAGCAGGGGAUCUUCGGACCUUGCGCGAUUGAAUGAGCCGAUGUCGGAUUAGCUAGUUGGCGGGGUAAAGGCCCACCACGGCGACGAUCCGUAGCUGGUCUGAGAGGAUGAUCCGCCACACUGGAACUGAGACACGGCCCAGACUCCUACGGGAGGCAGCAGCGGGGAAUAUUGGACGAUGGGCGCAAGCCUGAUCCAGCCAUACCGCGUGGGUGAAGAAGGCCUUCGGGUUGUAAAGCCCUUUUGUUGGGAAAGAAAAGCAGCAGGUUAAUACCCCGCUGUUCUGACGGUACCCAAAGAAUAAGCACCGGCUAACUUCGUG